UUUUUGUCUGUUUUAAUCCUGCGUGCUUAUCUGGCACUGACCUGAUCUUUUCCCCAUUUAAUUAAGCAGUGCUGGUCAGUCCACUGCGGCCCAUGUGGAGAUGGGACUGAUCAGCUCUCCCGAUAGGCAGAGGAGUGAUGGCCACCCUCCAGGAGGGGCACGAGGGAAUGGGCAGGAAUCCCCGGAGCAGCCACAUUGGGUCCAGAGGCCUGGGGAGCCAGGAGUGGCUGAUAACCAGUACCCAUUGAAAAGCAAUGCUUCUCAAACCUCAGUAAGUUCCAGAAUCACCAGGACGGCCUACUAAAACCCAGAUGACUGGGCCUCACCCUCAGUGCUUCUAAUUCAGUAGGUUCGUCUGGGGAGCGGUCAUGAAUCUACAUUCCUAAUAAACACCCAGCUGGUGCUGCCACUGCCAGUGCAAGGACCACAUUGUCACUGUGUUCGUGGGCUGACCUUGGCCUAGUGAUGGACACUGGCCAGGCCAAAGGGGGUCUUGUUCUGAUUGGAUUAAAGAAGAGACCUCGGCAGAGGAAACUGAUUACAGUCUUCAGGGACUGAGCCGGGGCUGCUCAGGACUACAAAGGGAAGGGAGGGAUAUGGAUUCAACAUGUGGUUUUGAGAGACAACCCAGUCUUAGUGAUGCUAGGAGCAGUGAAAGAGAGAAAGUAAAGAUGCCUCCAUGGUUUUGAGCAGCUGGGAAUAUGGUGGUGCUUGACAGAGAUAAGUACCAAGGGAAUCCAAGGGGGUGACGCAGGGAUACACUGAAGUUGGCACAAGCUACAUAAUCUGUCCGACCUAGUGAAAAAUGAAAAUGCAGGGCCCCUUGUUCAAAAAUGAUUAAGAAUUUGAAAUCAUAGGCAGCAGAGCAUGAAACCAAGCACAAGGCCCUUCUAAGUGUAGGCUGUCUGCCCUGGCUGAGAUUCAGGCAAAAGCAAGAGAGCCACAGAACAGACCACCACCUUGGCAGCCUGUCCA
rnacentral:lncRNA from 1 species